rnacentral:lncRNA from 1 species
UUUCUGACUCUUUCUCUGUUAUUGCUACUCAGGCAACUCCUGUGGAGUUGAGAUGCAGCCUCUGGGCCACAGCAUGCAGUGACUGGCCUAUGGGAUCGCCUCCUUGACUCUAGCACGUGGCACGUGCCCUAAUGGCCCCAUUCAGAAGAUUCUCACAUCUGCCUCCUAGUGGUGACAGCCUGGAAGAGAAAAUUAGAUGGAUCAGCAUUUUAAAACAUUGAAUGUCCUUCAAGGACAGCACCUUGG